AAGUUGCUUUCUCUGCUGUCAAAAACAAGAAUGCGUUACCUUCCUGAACUAACUAAAAAAACCUGAAUCAAUUUUAAGUCUAUAUAAAUUAAGAUUAUCUUGAAACUUUUAGAAUAUUAAUUGAGGAUAUUUCUGAAGUAUAGUAAAUUGUCUGUUUCAGCUAUGAAGAUGUGCGGUUUCUCUGUAUUAAGUAUUGAAAUUAGAAUCCAUAGAAUGGUUACAGGCCAGAAAGAGGCCAUUUGGCUUGUCAUUUCUGUGCUGGUUUUCUACCAGAACUGCUCAACUAGUCCCACUGCCCUACCAAGUCUAGGAUACAGUUCCUGAGCUGACCAUUCUUCCUGGAUGAUGGAUUGUGUGCAGAUUACUACUUUGAAAUCAAGCUGGCCAGUAAUUUUCUGAAGAGAAACACCAUAAAGACUAAAUAUAAAGAAGAAUAUUAUUAUUAAACAAGACACGAUGUCAAUGCAUCUUCAUUGUUGACUCCCGCGUAUACAUUUCACUGCUUGAAAACCUGAUAUCAGCAGAUGGUUCUGUAUUAAAAUAGCUACAUUAAUGUGACAGCUGUUGUAAACUAUGUGGUUAUUAUCAAUGGAACUAUUACAGGAACUUAGAUUUAUGUUGAAAAUAAAUUAUAU